rnacentral:rRNA from 1 species
GAUGAACGCUGGCGGCGUGCCUAAUACAUGCAAGUCGAGCGAACAGAUGAGGAGCUUGCUCCUCUGACGUUAGCGGCGGACGGGUGAGUAACACGUGGAUAACCUACCUAUAAGACUGGGAUCACUUCGGGAAACCGGAGCUAAUACCGGAUAAUAUAUUGAACCGCAUGGUUCAAUAGUGAAAGUCGGUUUUGCUGUCACUUAUAGAUGGAUCCGCGCCGCAUUAGCUAGUUGGGAAGGUAACGGCUUACCAAGGCAACGAUGCGUAGCCGACCUGCGAGGGUGGUCGGCCACACUGGAACUGGGACACGGUCCAGGCUCCUACGGGAGGCAGCAGUAGGGAAUCUUCCGCAAAGGGCGAAAGCCUGACGGAGCAGCGCCGCGUGAGUGAUGAAGGUCUUCGGAUCGUAAAACUCUGUUAUUAGGGAAGAACAAAUGUGUAAGUAACUAUGCACGUCUUGACGGUACCUAAUCAGAAAGCCACGGCUAACUACGUG